CUGGUCUACACUGACCACUGACCAAUCCAAUUGUUCAUCUAACUCUUCCUUCAGCACCUGAAAGCACCAUGAGGCCAAUGAGAAGAUAUGAUCCAGACUGUCCAUCCAUCAUCAAGAUCAUUAAGAACACCACCUUCACCUUCACCGCUCUUAAGCAAUAUGGGAUCUACAAACAGAUAAGCAAUUAGAGAAACAUAUUUUAACUUUGUAAUCAAAGUUUAUGGCAACUCUUUUCUGACUUCUACAGUAAGUUUCCUUAAUUUUUGUAGUAAAACAACUUGGAUAAAAUGUAAUCCUUGUGCAAACACCAUGAAAAAAAAUGAACCAAAAAUAAAAUAAAAUAAAAUAAAAAG